AAAGUCCUAGCUUAAUGAAAGCGUCUGGGUUGCAUCCGGAAGAUGUGGGUUAAUGUCCUGCGGACUUUA
rnacentral:tRNA from 1 species